UUGAAUGUCACUUAAUAUCUGAUUAUUUCAGAUAUUAAAUGCUAUAUAAUGUUAUGUCAACAAGUUAACAUUAAUGUAAUGAAUGUCACUUAAUAUCUGAUUAUUUUAGAUAUUAAAUGCUUAUGACAAUAAUGUUAUAAUGUAUAUAUAACUAUACAUUUGUAAAAUAGGAAGGUAAUUGCAAUGUAACAAUUAAUGUAUAAGACAUUGAUAAAUUUUUCGAGGUAAAAACUUUCUUUGUAUUAUUAUUAUUGUUUGUAAAUUUAAAAGAAAGACCGGACUGAAGACAUUUAUGACCAAUGACGGGACGUCAUUUUUUCAGACCAGGGAAGUAUGUAACAGGGUCUUAUUUUUAGGAUCAGGUCCAAGGGACAAUACUCUUGCUUUACUGUUGGAUUUUAUAAUUUAGCAAAGGGAGACAAAUCCGUCGGUCUUGUCUGAUACUUUUCAAGGGAGAUUACUCUAUUGGUUUUAACUGAUUUUAGCUUUUGUUUACAUUGGUCAGUAUUCUAAGAAUUCAAAUGAUUGGUUCACGGAUCGUUGGUUUUAAGCUAUUUUUAUGUCAUGUGAUUUCUUGGUGGGAAAAGUCAUUGUGUCUUUGUUAUGUUGUAAAGGAGAGGUUAGAAAAAUUAGUGUUUGUGGUCAAGUUCUUUAUUUCCUAAGUUGGUAUGUAUUUAUCCUGACUGCUGCUAAAUGCUUUAUUGUAAAUAUGUAGAAUUGCAUUAUUGUGAUUCUGUUGUAUUUUGGUUCAGUCCAUUGAUUGUGAAAUUUGUAAAUAAGUAUGAGUUUCAGAAUGACAUGUAUCUAUCAAAUCACCUUUCAUCUUUUAUUCACUAUUAAUAUUUAACCUUGCAGUUAACAGUCACUGGUGUGAUAGUCAGAGAGAUAAUAGUUAGAUUGAUGUACUGCACUCAUCCCUCAGAUGAGUGUUGUUGGUUUGUACUUAUCAAAUCUACUUGAUGUAACAACCUUAUUAGAAGAUUGGAUUGGUAUAUAAACAUAUAAGAACUUCA